rnacentral:tRNA from 1 species
UGGGGUUGUGGCUCAGUGGAAGAGCGCUCACCUAGCAUGCGUGAGGCCCUGGGCUCAAUCCUCAGCACCACAA